UACGAAGGGUGCAAACGUUGCUCGGAAUCAUUGGGCGUAAAGCGCACGUAGGCGGCCCAGCAAGUUGGAUGUGAAAUCCCUCGGCUCAACCGAGGACGUGCAUCCAAAACUGCUGGGCUUGAGUACUGAAGAGGAUCGCGGAAUUCCCGGUGUAGAGGUGAAAUUCGUAGAUAUUCGCAAGAACACCAGUGGCGAAGGCGGCUCACUGGCCCGGUACUGACGCUGAGGUGCGAAAGCGUGGGGAGCAAACAGG
rnacentral:rRNA from 1 species